GCGGCGAGUGGCGAACGGGUGAGUAAUAUAUCGGAACGUACCCAGAAGUGGGGGAUAACGUAGCGAAAGUUACGCUAAUACCGCAUACGAUCUACGGAUGAAAGUGGGGGACCUUCGGGCCUCAUGCUUGUGGAGCGGCCGAUAUCUGAUUAGCUAGUUGGUAGGGUAAAGGCCUACCAAGGCGACGAUCAGUAGCUGGUCUGAGAGGACGACCAGCCACACUGGGACUGAGACACGGCCCAGACUCCUACGGGAGGCAGCAGUGGGGAAUUUUGGACAAUGGGCGCAAGCCUGAUCCAGCAAUGCCGCGUGAGUGAAGAAGGCCUUCGGGUUGUAAAGCUCUUUUGUCAGGGAAGAAACGGGAGUGGCUAAUAUCCGAUCCUAAUGACGGUACCUGAAGAAUAAGCACCGGCUAACUACGUGCCAGCAGCCGCGGUAAUACGUAGGGUGCAAGCGUUAAUCGGAAUUACUGGGCGUAAAGCGUGCGCAGGCGGUUUUGUAAGUCUGACGUGAAAUCCCCGGGCUCAACCUGGGAAUUGCGUUGGAGACUGCAAGGCUGGAGUCUGGCAGAGGGGGGUAGAAUUCCACGUGUAGCAGUGAAAUGCGUAGAGAUGUGGAGGAACACCGAUGGCGAAGGCAGCCCCCUGGGUCAAGACUGACGCUCAUGCACGAAAGCGUGGGGAGCAAACAGGAUUAGAUACCCUGGUAGUCCACGCCCUAAACGAUGUCUACUAGUUGUCGGGUUUUAAUUAACUUGGUAACGCAGCUAACGCGUGAAGUAGACCGCCUGGGGAGUACGGUCGCAAGAUUAAAACUCAGAGGAAUUGACGGGGACCCGCACAAGCGGUGGAUGAUGUGGAUUAAUUCGAUGCAACGCGAAAAACCUUACCUACCCUUGACAUGGAAGGAAUCCUGAAAAGAUUUGGGAGUGCCCGAAAGGGAACCUUCACACAGGUGCUGCAUGGCUGUCGUCAGCUCGUGUCCUGAGAUGUUGAGUUAAGUCCCGCAACGAGCGCAACCCUUGUCAUUAUUUGCUACGCAAGAACACUCUAAUGGAACUGCCGGUGACAAACCGAAGAAGGUGGGGAUGACGUCAGUCCUCAGGCCCUUAUGGUAGGGCUUCCACGUCCAACAAUGGUACAUCAAAAGGGCCGCCACCCGCGGGGGGACUUAUCCCAAAAAGGUAUCUUAUUCCGGAUUGGUUCCGCCAUCCCAAAAUGGAAAUUGAAACCCCUUAAAUCCGGAAAACA
rnacentral:rRNA from 1 species